UUGGGCUAUUUCCAUUUUAUUUGUUUCUGUCUGUGUAAAGCACACUGAAUGAUGAUCAUGUAUGAUAAUAUAUAAUAAUGUAUAUCAUGUUAUACAAAUAAAUUUGACUUUGAUGUUGUCUGUGUCUGGCAUUAGAGGGUUGCCAGUUGCGUUGUGUGUGGAAACUGGAAGCUUUUACCACAGAGAUUUUUUUGGGGGACUAAUUAUCAGAGGUGGAUAACUUAAGUAGUCUGUUUCUACCUUAACACAGUGAUAUCUCUAGCUGGUGUACCUGACUGAAGAGUUAUACUGAUAUCAGUAUCAGUAUACCCGCCAUAGAGCCAGGCCUGUAUUAGCCACAGUAAGAGUGACUACAGCAAGAAGGCAGGCUACCAGGACAAGAUGACAUCCGACCGACCAUGUCAAUCGCAGAUCAAACAUUUCAAAGACCAUGCAAUUCCUGAGCAGGUCAACACUCUUAUUCAAGAACACUAGCUGUCUAUCAAUUAUCGUCCUCUCCUGAUUGGACUGACUCAUCUGUUAGACCUACUUUUCCUUCAGACUUUUCAGAGAGGAGGCUAUGUUACGUUUGGGGAAACACGAGUGCGACGAAGUGACCGACGAAGUGAAAGUAAGCUGACGCAGGUUAAAGUGAUUCAAAUGAACACGCACAGAGAUUACGAUUCAAGUAUUCGACUGGCAUAUAGGCUGUUUUUAAAACUGUCUUAUUUGCACUUCUACCCACGAAAUGGACUUGAUCUGAAGAGCCGAACAUGGCAAACUGUGGUUCUCUACGACUAUGAACAGAAUCAAAAAUGACCAAUGCAUCUUCUGUGCACUCUGGCAUGGUCUCUUAUUCUACUACCUCUUGGGUUCUGCUGCAAAAGCCAAAAGUCCAAAGAAGACAUUACAAAGGAUUAUGUAUAUGUCAUCCAAGAACAUAUGGAGACCAUUCUAAAUAAAAUUGUCAACGAAAUGAAUGGAACCUGCAAACAGACCAUCAGAAGCGGGAAUACAACGGAGUUGCAGAAUGUCUCAACAGCACACAUUCUGAACAGAGUCUGUAAACAUUCACCGACAAAAUUCUGCCCUAUGAGUUCUGAAGUGAAGAAGCUCACGAAAUUAGUUCAUACUUCCUUAGGACCCGGGUGCUCAUGCAAAGAAAAGGAACAGCACUCCACUAAGAAAAAGCAACAAGCACGGAGUCCCUGUCCACAAUCUCGCUUGCCGAGGAAGAAACUUUGCAUACUGAAACACUGGCUGGAGAAGAUAAAGGACCUAUACAGUCAGUUCAAUUCUACCUGAGCGUUGGCUCAGGGCAGCAAGGUGUUGUCAUAAUGACUCAAAGUUGUAAAAGCUCCAGUGUAACUCUACAGUGCCUCCACUACUCAAGGACAGGGGAAGGACACUUGGACCGAGAGGAGAAAAGAGAGGCCGCGUUUCUCAAGCUUCUGGUGACAAAGGCUGUGAGGAUGCACAUUACCAGUGUGAUUUGAUGGAUACAGCUUUUCAAGGAGCUUUAUUGACUGGAGGGAAUUUAGUGUAACGGCCGUCAUUUUUUGUUUGUUUGUUUGUUUUGGUAUAUUCCUCUGAGGACCACUCCACCAAGAAAAUGCUUUACUAUGAAUGAAACCAGUGUAGAGACAGCCUAAUCUUGCCAGAACCAUUCAGGAUGGAUAUCAAGCCCGACUUAAGUUAAGUUGAUAAGUUAAGACUGUAACUAAAAGAUGUACAAUAACAGGAGGGGAUGAACACGGCAUUACUGAAAAACACAUAGCCUACUGUAUAUAGAGAGAGGUUCAACAUAUUUGUUCUCAUGUUCUAUAGUCAGAUCACUGUCACACACUACCAUGAAUGAAGAGGUCCAUGUGAUUUAUAUUAGAAAAACACAUGAUGGAGAAUGCAUUGUGAUUAAAUGUUCUGUUCUGAAGCAA